CCCAAUGGUCGGACGGCGGCAACGCCGCGAACCCCGUCAGGUCCGAAAGGAAGCAGCGGUAGUGGAUGUUGCCGGGUGUCCGGCCAUUUCCUUU
rnacentral:SRP_RNA from 1 species